CGCCUGUCACAGUGAUAUGAGUAUCCCCGUGUUUUGUGUAUCCCCUACUAAUAUCACUAGGGAUAUGUGUAUCCCCAUGCUCACCUCACUAGGGAUAUGUGUAUCCCCGGCAAUAUGGCGGUCGUGUUCUGCGUAUCCCUAAAGAACCACCCUACAUUCCCACAUCACUAGGGAUACAAGUAUCCCUAACAUUUCGCGGGAAAUAAAACAUGCAGAACUGUACAUACAAGCUUGAAAAUAACACUCUAAAUAGUGUGUUG